ACGAACGCUGGCGGCGUGCUUCACACAUGCAAGUCGAACGGUGAAGCGCCUUCCUUUUUGGUGGGUGUGGAUGAGUGGCGAACGGGUGAGUAACACGUGAGUAACCUGCCCCCUUCUUCUGGAUAACCGCAUGAAAGUGUGGCUAAUACGGGAUAUUCUGGGUCUGUCGCAUGAUGGGUCUGGGAAAGAUAUUGUUUCGGUGGGGGAUGGGCUCGCGGCCUAUCAGCUUGUUGGUGGGGUGAUGGCCUACCAAGGCGGUGACGGGUAGCCGGCCUGAGGGGGUGGACGGUCACACUGGGACUGAGACACGGCCCAGACUCCUACGGGAGGCAGCAGUGGGGAAUAUUGCACAAUGGGCGCAAGCCUGAUGCAGCGACGCCGCGUGAGGGAUGGAGGCCUUCGGGUUGUGAACCUCUUUCGCCAGUGAAGCAGGCCUGCCUCGUUUGUGGGUGGGUUGACGGUAGCUGGAUAAGAAGCGCCGGCUAACUACGUG
rnacentral:rRNA from 1 species